rnacentral:rRNA from 1 species
GUGUCAGCAGCCGCGGUAAUACGUAGGGUGCGAGCGUUAAUCGGAAUUAUUGGGCGUAAAGAGCUCGUAGGCGGUCUGUUACGUCCGCUGUGAAAACCCAGGGCUUAACCCUGGGCUUGCAGUGGAUACGGGCAGACUAGAGGCAGGUAGGGGAGAAUGGAAUUCCCGGUGUAGCGGUGAAAUGCGCAGAUAUCGGGAGGAACACCGGUGGCGAAGGCGGUUCUCUGGGCCUGACCUGACGCUGAGGAGCGAAAGCGUGGGGAGCGAACAGGAUUAGAUACCCUGGUAGUCCACGCCGUAAACGUUGGGCGCUAGGUGUGGGGUCCUUCCACGGAUUCCGUGCCGCAGCUAACGCAUUAAGCGCCCCGCCUGGGGAGUACGGCCGCAAGGCUAAAACUCAAAGGAAUUGACGG